GAUGACUCUGAUGAUGAGUAUGACGACGAUCUGACCCUAAGAACUGAAGGCGCAUGUCAAAUACUGUUACGACAAAACCCGGAUGUGAUCUUACUGCAAGAGGUGGUCGAUUACAGCCUGGACAUCCUAAGGAGAGAAAUGACCAAUUAUGAAAUAAUUGUGGGCAGUGGAGAACACAUUGGUAUAACUGCUAUCUACUACACGGCUAUACUGGUCAACAAGAACACUGUUGAGGUCCACACACCAGGUGUCGUCUUAUUCCCCACUACUCGCAUGAAGAGAAAUCUUCUGUACUUUAA